rnacentral:rRNA from 1 species
AUUGAACGCUGGCGGCAUGCUUUACACAUGCAAGUCGAACGGUAACAGGCCGCAAGGCGUUGACGAGUGUCGAACGGGUGAGUAUUGCACCGGAACGUGCCCAGUCGUGGGGGAUAACUACUCGAAAGAGUAGCUAAUAUCGCAUACGAUCCCUGGAUGAAAGCGGGGGACCGUAAGGCCCCGCGCGAUUGGAGCGGCCGAUGUCAGAUUAGGUAGUUGGUGGGGUAAAGGCUCACCAAGACAACGAUCUGUAGCUGGUCUGAGAGGACGACCAGCCACACUGGGACUGAGACACGGCCCAGACUCCUACGGGAGGCAGCAGUGGGGAAUUUUGGACAAUGGGCGCAAGCCUGAUCCAGCAAUGCCGCGUGCAGGAAGAAGGCCUUCGGGUUGUAAACUGCUUUUGUACGGAACGAAACGGCUCUGGUUAAUACCCGGGGGUAAUGACGGUACCGUAAGAAUAAGCACCGGCUAACUACGUG